UAGGGAAUCUUCCGCAAUGGACGCAAGUCUGACGGAGCAACGCCGCGUGAGUGAAGAAGGAUUUCGGUUCGUAAAACUCUGUUGUUAGAGAAGAACAGCGCAUAGAGUAACUGUUAUGCGUGUGACGGUAUCUAACCAGAAAGCCACGGCUAACUACGUGCCAGCAGCCGCGGUAAUACGUAGGUGGCAAGCGUUGUCCGGAUUUAUUGGGCGUAAAGCGAGCGCAGGCGGUCAAAUAAGUCUGAUGUGAAAGCCCCCGGCUCAACCGGGGAGGGUCAUUGGAAACUGGUUGACUUGAGUGCAGAAGAGGAGAGUGGAAUUCCAUGUGUAGCGGUGAAAUGCGUAGAUAUAUGGAGGAACACCAGUGGCGAAGGCGACUCUCUGGUCUGUAACUGACGCUGAGGUUCGAAAGCGUGGGUAGCAAACAGG
rnacentral:rRNA from 1 species